rnacentral:lncRNA from 1 species
GCCCCCAUCAACGGAUCUGAAACAGGGGAGCUUCAGGGGUGUGACCAGGGCCUGGCCAGGAGCCGUGCAGAACAGGCAGGGGCCACACAGGCCUGCUCCCCCAACCUCCAGUCAGCCAGUCAGCACCUUGGAGAGAAGCCGGGCCUGCCCAGGCCAGGGCCCAGGACCUGCCCGGGGGGCUGUCUGGAUUCCCUGACGCCCCCCUGCCUCUGGCCCCACACUCCCUGUCCCCCUAGACACUCCCUUUUCAGCUUGUGCUCCUCCCCCAGCUCCUCCUUCUCCUCAGACAGCCCCUGCCCUCCCAGGAAAACCCCAGUCCCUUGUCCUUUGCACCCACUCUUCAAACUAGCUGGAUCCAAGAGAAAUAGCAGGGCUCCUCCUGACUGCCCGGAGUGCUGGCCUCUCCCACUGGAUAGACCGCCCUCCUGUCCAGGAAGGGGCCCCAGGCUGGCCGCCCCUGGGGGGCUCUGGCCCCUCUCAAGCUCCCACUGUGGCGUCUUCAAGCACCCAUGGUCCCUGGGUCUCCACGGGCAGAGAGAAUGGAGGCCUGUCCUACCCUGGGCUCCGCAUGAGAGUAGGGGCAGCAGCUUUCCCCUUGACCUUGGGUUUCCCACCUCCUCAGAUCCCAGACCCGUCCAGGCCACUGACCUCGCUUUUGCAGGAGCAAAAUUUCACCUUGGGAGCCAGCCCAUGGGCCCAGAAGCUAUGGUGCAUGCGGAGACUUGGAGUAGGGAGUUGGGGGCAAGGCCAGGGGGCCAGGAAUCGCUGGAGUCAGGGAACAGCAUGGAAUCAUGGUCCUGUCUGCUCUGCCCACAGUUUCCACAGGCAGCCAGGACCCCGAAGGCACGUUUGUCCCAGCGCCGUCUCCCAUUUGCUCCCGCAGUGUGGGGACCCCGGGCAUCCACAUGCCGCCUCACGGACAUCGCUCCCAGUCCUUCCAGGGACAAGGUGAAGGCCAGCUUAGUAAACUGCUUGGGUUUGCCCGCUCUCUCUGGGGGCAGCCAGAAUGACUCCCACAUGACCGGUUUGGGGGGUGGCUACCUCGGGGCACACGUCCAGGGUGCCAGGCAGGGAUUGCAAUGCCAGGCUGAGCUCUGCCCCUUUCCAGAUGGUGCCUAUGACUCAGCACCUUCUGACCUCUAG